rnacentral:rRNA from 1 species
GACGGGGGCUCGCACAAGCGGUGGAGCGCGUGGCUUAUUCGUAGCUAAGCGGAGAACCUUACCGGGGUUUGAAACCAAACUGCACGACUAGGGAAACCUAGUUUCUUUCGAAGGUGUUUGGCAGGUGAUGCAUGGCUGUCGUCAGUUCGUGGUUUGAAUUGUUCCCUUAAGUGGGGUAACGAACGCAACCCUCGUUGCCUGUUAUAUUUGUCAGGCGAGACUGCCCCCUCACGGGGGAGGAAGGUGAGGAUGACGCCAAGUCAGCAUGUCCCUUUGACAUCCCGGGCUGCACACACGCUACAAUGGCUAUUACAGAGGGGCGCAAAAGCGCAAGCUCAAGCAAAUCCCCAAAGAUAGCCCAAGUUCGGAUUGAGGUCUGCAACUCGACCUCAUGAAGUCGGAAUCGCUAGUAAUCGUGAAUCAGAACGUCACGGUGAAUACGUUCUCGAGCCUUGUACUCACCGCCCGUCAAUACAAGGGAGCUGGGAGUACCCUAAGCCCGUGUUUAUCACGGACUACGGUAAAUUCAGUGACAAGGUAUAAGUCGUAACAAGGUAACC